rnacentral:rRNA from 1 species
GAUCAUGGCUCAGGAUGAACGCUAGCUACAGGCAUAACACAUGCAAGUCGAGGGGCAGCAUGGUCUUAGCUUGCUAAGGCUGAUGGCGACCGGCGCACGGGUGAGUAACACUUAUCCAACCUGCCGUCUACUCUUGGCCAGCUUUCUGAAAGGAAGAUUAAUCCAGGAUGGCAUCAUGAGUUCACAUGUCCGCAUGAUUAAAGGUAUUUUCCGGUAGACG